rnacentral:rRNA from 1 species
GCAGUAGAACGCUGAAGAGAGGAGCUUGCUCUUCUUGGAUGAGUUGCGAACGGGUGAGUAACGCGUAGGUAACCUGCCUUGUAGCGGGGGAUAACUAUUGGAAACGAUAGCUAAUACCGCAUAACAAUGGAUGACACAUGUCAUUUAUUUGAAAGGGGCAAUUGCUCCACUACAAGAUGGACCUGCGUUGUAUUAGCUAGUAGGUGAGGUAAUGGCUCACCUAGGCGACGAUACAUAGCCGACCUGAGAGGGUGAUCGGCCACACUGGGACUGAGACACGGCCCAGACUCCUACGGGAGGCAGCAGUAGGGAAUCUUCGGCAAUGGGGGCAACCCUGACCGAGCAACGCCGCGUGAGUGAAGAAGGUUUUCGGAUCGUAAAGCUCUGUUGUAAGUCAAGAACGGGUGUGAGAGUGGAAAGUUCACACUGUGACGGUAGCUUACCAGAAAGGGACGGCUAACUACGUGCCAGCAGCCGCGGUAAUACGUAGGUCCCGAGCGUUGUCCGGAUUUAUUGGGCGUAAAGCGAGCGCAGGCGGUUUGAUAAGUCUGAAGUUAAAGGCUGUGGCUCAACCAUAGUUCGCUUUGGAAACUGUCAAACUUGAGUGCAGAAGGGGAGAGUGGAAUUCCAUGUGUAGCGGUGAAAUGCGUAGAUAUAUGGAGGAACACCGGUGGCGAAAGCGGCUCUCUGGUCUGUAACUGACGCUGAGGCUCGAAAGCGUGGGGAGCGAACAGGAUUAGAUACCCUGGUAGUCCACGCCGUAAACGAUGAGUGCUAGGUGUUGGAUCCUUUCCGGGAUUCAGUGCCGCAGCUAACGCAUUAAGCACUCCGCCUGGGGAGUACGACCGCAAGGUUGAAACUCAAAGGAAUUGACGGGGGCCCGCACAAGCGGUGGAGCAUGUGGUUUAAUUCGAAGCAACGCGAAGAACCUUACCAGGUCUUGACAUCCCGAUGCUAUUUCUAGAGAUAGAAAGUUACUUCGGUACAUCGGUGACAGGUGGUGCAUGGUUGUCGUCAGCUCGUGUCGUGAGAUGUUGGGUUAAGUCCCGCAACGAGCGCAACCCCUAUUGUUAGUUGCCAUCAUUCAGUUGGGCACUCUAGCGAGACUGCCGGUAAUAAACCGGAGGAAGGUGGGGAUGACGUCAAAUCAUCAUGCCCCUUAUGACCUGGGCUACACACGUGCUACAAUGGUUGGUACAACGAGUUGCGAGUCGGUGACGGCGAGCUAAUCUCUUAAAGCCAAUCUCAGUUCGGAUUGUAGGCUGCAACUCGCCUACAUGAAGUCGGAAUCGCUAGUAAUCGCGGAUCAGCACGCCGCGGUGAAUACGUUCCCGGGCCUUGUACACACCGACCGUCACACCACGAGAGUUUGUAACACCCGAAGUCGGUGAGGUAACCUUUGGAGCCAGC